rnacentral:rRNA from 1 species
GAUGAACGCUGACAGAAUGCUUAACACAUGCAAGUCAACUUGAAUUUGGGUUUUUUAACUUAGAUUUGGGUGGCGGACGGGUGAGUAACGCGUAAAGAACUUGCCUCACAGCUAGGGACAACAUUUGGAAACGAAUGCUAAUACCUGAUAUUAUGAUUAUAAGGCAUCUUAGAAUUAUGAAAGCUAUAUGCGCUGUGAGAGAGCUUUGCGUCCCAUUAGCUAGUUGGAGAGGUAACGGCUCACCAAGGCGAUGAUGGGUAGCCGGCCUGAGAGGGUGAACGGCCACAAGGGGACUGGGACACGGCCCGUACUCCUACGGGAGGCAGCAGUGGGGAAUAUUGGACAAUGGACCAAGAGUCUGAUCCAGCAAUUCUGUGUGCACGAUGACGUUUUUCGGAAUGUAAAGUGCUUUCAGUUGGGAAGAAAAAAAUGACGGUACCAACAGAAGAAGUGACGGCUAAAUACGUG